CCCCGCUUAGUUUAGUGGCUAGAACCCUCGGCUGUAGACCGAGUGAUCCCCGGUUCAAACGAGAAACAACGUUUCUCACCCAGAAAAAUGGUGUUUUUCUGAUUGUCCGGGAGCGGGGA
rnacentral:tRNA from 1 species